rnacentral:sRNA from 1 species
GCUGGGCGUGGUAGUGCGCGCCUGUAGUCCCAGCUACUUGGGAGGCUGAGGCAGAAGAAUUGCUUGAAUCCAGGAGGUGGAGGUUGCAGUGAGCUGAGAUCAUGCCACUGCACUCCAGCCUGGGCGACAGAGUGAGAUUCUGUCUCAA